GGGUCACAAAGAGCCAGAUACGACUGAGCGACUGGACUGAACUGACCUGAGGAACUAGAACAAGGAGAUUCUCCUUCCCAGCUCUUUCCAUCUCUCCCGUCAGUGAAGGGCAGCCCUCCUCCUCGCUAAGGCUGUUCCUCAAGCCUGUCAGCUAUGUUACAGGCCUUGCUCUGCCAACCAGGCCCCUUAUUUUUGGCUUCUCUCAGACUUACUCUCCCUGGGAACCUGACAGCUCUGUCUGCUGUCUCUUCUGAAGUCUGCCCUGGCCUCCUUAACAUGCUGCCUCCCGCUUCCCCACUGCGCUUCUGACUUCUCUUCCUCAGUCUUCUUUCCUGGAUUGUCCUGCUCUACUUCACUUAAAACAUCAGUUUCCUGAGGAGAUGGUUCGAUGGCAUCACCAACUCAAAAGACCCGAAUUGGGCAAACUCUGGUAGAGAGUGGACCACAGAGGAGCCUAACAUGCUGCAGGCCAUGGGGUCACAAAGAGUUGGACACAGUUUAGCAACUGAACAACCCUCAGUUACCUGGGGUCCUCUCUGGUCCUCCUGCUUCCUCUCCCUCCCUACUCAUCCUGGGUGACCUCACUGAUGCCCACAGUGAGGGUCUCUAGCCCCAAACACACUGUUGUCUUGCAUGCUGGCUAUUUCCACAUGGAUAUCCCAUACUCACCUCAGUCUUUUCAAAGCAAAAUGAAUCAUCUUCCUCCCAAACCUGAUCUCUCCCUGUUUCCUAUGUAAGCCAGCAGGCUGGUCAUCACAGUCACCUGAGCCAGCAACCGGGGAGUCAGUCUAGACUCCCCUCCAUCACGUCUGUCCCCCACCUUCCACCAGCUCCUUGGUCUCAUACCCUCCACUCAGAUCUCUCUCUCCUCCAUCCACACCUGCUGAGUGGUGGCCUUUAUCCAUUCUCAACUCAUUCACUGUGAAAGUGAAACCAUGAACCUCUGACUGGGACUUGAACCCAUGGGCUAGGACUCGAAUCCAGGCAAAACCCACACUGGGACUUGAACCGACAGUCUUUUAACUGAGAUCACACCCCGUCUCAGAACUUAAUGACACUCAGGUUCUUGAUGUCUCAUCACAGAAAGAAUCCAGUAAGAGAAAGUGAUAGGUAAGAAGUGGGUUUAUUUGGAGUGAAACACACUCCACAGACAGAGUGCGGGCCAUCUCAGAGACUGAGAGCAGCAGGGUGUGGGGUUGUCAGUUUUUGUAGGGCUGGGUAAUUCCAUAGGUUAAGGAGUGGGAGGGUUAUUCCCACUGUUUGGGGAAAGUGUGAAAGUGCUAGUGGCUCAGUCAUACCCAACUCUUUGUGACUCCAUGGACUGUAGCCCACCAGGCUCCUCUGUCCAUGGAAUUCUCCAAGCAAGAAUACUGGACUGGGUUGCCAUGCCCUCCUCCAGGGGAUCUUCCCGACUCAGGGAUCAAACCUGGGUCUUCUGCAUUGCAGGCAAUUCUUUACCAUCGGAGUCACAGGGAAGGGGCAGAGACUUCCAGGGACUGGGCCGCCACCACUUUUUGCCUUUACGGUCAGCCUUGGAACUGUCAUGGUGCCCAUGAGUGUGUCGUUAGCUCGCUGAUGUGCUACGACGAGCGCACACUGAGGCUCAAGGCCUAGCAGAGGUAGACUCAUCCACCAUCUUGGACCUAUCUGGUUCCCAUCAGUUUAUGUCACUUCCUCUGGCUAUGUCAUUCUUUUACAGACAUGCCCUGUCCCCUUCCCUCCUGUUUCAAGCACUCCCAACAGGUCUCUCUGUCAUCCACCCCGCUCCUUCAAUCUCACAUGUCUCUAUUCUGGUCUCUACUGUCCUGCCAGAGCAUUCUUUCUAAAAUGAGAAUGACUUGAUCCCCGAAGUGGUUCCCCAUGUCCUUCAGCAGAAGCCCGGUGCUGGAUCUGGAACCUACUUGCCUACCUCUGACUCCUCUACUGCCAAUCCACAGGUACCCUCCGGCCAAUCAGACUCACGCCUGCAUGCCUUUGUACAUGCUGUGCCCUCCUCUUGGAAUACUUUCCCUCACUCCACCGUCACUUUUAUCCAUCCACAUGAAAAAUUCCUACUGAGGCUUCAAGUCCAAGUGUUAACUCCUCCUGGAAGACUUUACUGACUCCACUGGGUUUAGAAAGGUCUCCUUCUUCAGUCACCAAAGGCAUUCCACUAUGACAGCUAUUAAUCACACCAUAUGGAACUCAUCUGUUUCCCACAACAGACCUCAAGGACACUCUGCUUCCUGAAUCAUCUGUGCAAAUAAAUAAUACCUCCUGGGGUGAAAUCUGUGUCCAACCAACCAAAUCAACCAGAAGACAUCCAGCUUCAGAAACUCUGAGAUCCCAGGCAGCUUGACCACUAAAGUCCUUUCAACUUUAAUUCCAGUGCAGCAGGGGCUGCCAGAGUCCCAGACUGUAGUAGCCCACAAACUCAGAGACGUCAUUACCCAGGUGAGGCACUCACAUGCCUGACGUGUUAAUGAUUCUUCACAAAUGUCCAUGGAGCUGAAUUCAGUGAAUAAACCAGAGCGCUGCUUAAAAGAGGAUGAGACACAGGAAGUCCUAGUCUCCCAGAAGAGAAGCACAUUCUAAAAUAAAACAUCGCAGCCCUUUCUAGGUCACAGAAUGCUUUCACAUACCUUCCACCGUUUAAGCUUGUACUACCCUGGGACCAUCAUUAUCAUCAGUACGUGGCUAAAGAAGUAAGGAAUGAGAAAGGUCAAGUCAAAGAGCAUGGCGAUCAGGUGACACUCAAAGGUACUCACUCUGACUUCCAAUCUCCCACUCUUUUCUGGAUUCCGAAAAGAAGCUAGCUGAUGUAGUGGAUAUUCUGGCUCAAGGAACAACCAAAGAGCUGCUAACAGAGUUAUUAGCCUCAGAGAGCAAAGAUUGUGAAGACGGUGGUAUGGAAAACAUGUUUAUCCAGAACCAGCCAGACCCUGGAGGGGCCACAUAUUUGUGACGGGAAUAUAAGAGCUCUUUUCUGUGUUACUUCAACCAAAACUGACUGACUCCCACUUGAUUCACAGGAAAGUAGUAUAAAUUCUUGUAUAGCGCCUUCCUCUCACGCCUACCCUGAUAACACCAGCAAUAAAUGCCUAGCACUGUUUUUCAUUGUGCACUUGAUAUAUUCAUUUAUUUGGCCACACUGUACAACAGGUGGAACUUUCACGGCAGGGAUCAAAUCAGUGCCCCUGCAGU